UACGAAGGGGGCUAGCGUUGUUCGGAAUCACUGGGCGUAAAGCGCACGUAGGCGGAUCUUUAAGUCAGGGGUGAAAUCCCGAGGCUCAACCUCGGAACUGCCUUUGAUACUGGGGAUCUCGAGUCCGGGAGAGGUGAGUGGAACUGCGAGUGUAGAGGUGAAAUUCGUAGAUAUUCGCAAGAACACCAGUGGCGAAGGCGGACUCACUGGCCCGGAACUGACGCUGAGGUGCGAAAGCGAUGGGGAGCAAACUAGGGGAUUAAGUGACCC
rnacentral:rRNA from 1 species